AGAGUUUGAUCCUGGCUCAGGAUGAACGCUGGCGGCAUGCCUAAUACAUGCAAGUCGAACGAGAGGAAGGAAAGCUUGCUUUUCUGAAUCUAGUGGCGAACGGGUGAGUAACACGUAGGUAACCUGCCCAUGUGCCCGGGAUAACUUCUGGAAACGGAUGCUAAAACCGGAUAGGUAGCAGACAAGCAUUUGACUGCUAUUAAAGUGGCCUUGGCCAUGAACAUGGAUGGACCUGCGGUGCAUUAGCUGGUUGGUGAGGUAACGGCCCACCAAGGCGACGAUGCAUAGCCGGCCUGAGAGGGCGGACGGCCACAUUGGGACUGAGACACGGCCCAAACUCCUACGGGAGGCAGCAGUAGGGAAUUUUCGUCAAUGGGGGGAACCCUGAACGAGCAAUGCCGCGUGAGUGAGGAAGGUCUUCGGAUCGUAAAGCUCUGUUGUAAGAGAAAAACGGCACUCAUAGGGAAUGAUGAGUGAGUGAUGGUAUCUUACCAGAAAGUCACGGCUAACUACGUGCCAGCAGCCGCGGUAAUACGUAGGUGGCGAGCGUUAUCCGGAAUCAUUGGGCGUAAAGAGGGAGCAGGCGGCCGCAAGGGUCUGUGGUGAAAGACCGAAGCUAAACUUCGGUAAGCCAUGGAAACCGGGCGGCUAGAGUGCGGAAGAGGAUCGUGGAAUUCCAUGUGUAGCGGUGAAAUGCGUAGAUAUAUGGAGGAACACCAGUGGCGAAGGCGACGGUCUGGGCCGCAACUGACGCUCAUUCCCGAAAGCGUGGGGAGCAAAUAGGAUUAGAUACCCUAGUAGUCCACGCCGUAAACGAUGGUCACUAAGUGUCGGGGGUCAAACCCCGGUGCUGCAGUCAACGCAAUAAGUGACCCGCCUGAGUAGUACGUUCGCAAGAAUGAAACUCAAAGGAAUUGACGGGGGCCCGCACAAGCGGUGGAGCAUGUGGUUUAAUUCGAAGCAACGCGAAGAACCUUA
rnacentral:rRNA from 1 species